GACGUAGGGCGCGAGCGUUGUCCGGAUUUAUUGGGCGUAAAGAGCUCGUAGGCGGCUUGUCGCGUCGACCGUGAAAACUUGGGGCUCAACCCCAAGCCUGCGGUCGAUACGGGCAGGCUAGAGUUCGGUAGGGGAGACUGGAAUUCCUGGUGUAGCGGUGAAAUGCGCAGAUAUCAGGAGGAACACCGGUGGCGAAGGCGGGUCUCUGGGUCGAUACUGACGCUGAGGAGCGAAAGCGUGGGGAGCGAACAGG
rnacentral:rRNA from 1 species